rnacentral:lncRNA from 10 species
UCUAUUUUCUACCUUUCUCUCAACGCUCAUCACAAAUGGUUCCAUGAGAAGCUGCCUUCCCCAGUACGCUGUAGAUUCCACAGACGAUUUAGUCACCAUUUCCUCCCACACAGAGCAGUGCCUUUCCCAGAGCAAGUGCUCGCUGAGAGGAAAUCACCACUGGAGAUCCCAGAAGCAUAACAAUUGUCCCUUCCAAGUAGCAAGAAGUUACUUCAUCUUCUCAUCAGGACAAGGUUUCCAACUCUGUUGCCUCUGCAGGGGUGGAUUUGUGGAUCCUGAAUUCUGGCAGCUGUGUGAUCCACACCUUGGCUAGCACCAGAGGUCAUUGGCUAAGUGCUAUGACAGCAGGGAUUCUCCAAGGCCAAGCCCAUGGGGUUCAGGCCAGGGAUGAUCAAUCAUCAGGCGAAGGUUCCAGGACAUGAAGUGCAUCACAGGUGCUCUCCAGGAACAGGUACCCAGCCAUGCAGGACUAGGAGAGGCCCAGGGCAGCCCUGAUUCUCACAUGUCCACCCACUGGCAGGAGCUGACAGCUGUGCAUGACUAGCUCUCAAAGGCCCAGCUGCAUCCUGCCUCCUCCUGCUUCUGUUGAGUCUGGCAGCUACAAGCAAGAGUAUGGGAAAGCAGAAGACAGGAAGACAGGUGAACUCAUGGAAGACGGAGGCAGAGGGGAAAGUAGAGGCUCUGCAGACCCCAUCAUGGAGAACAAGAAACCGAGUGGGAGCUUAUCGACUUCAGCCUUACCCCAGGACGCACUCUCAACCAAGUUUACUCUCUGAACAGCUCUGAAACUUUUGGUUCAGUCGUGGCUGAACCAACAGGAAAUCAAGGGAAAUGGCACUUAUUUAUUAUGCAGCCGUAGGCCAAUUCCCCAGAUGUCAUUAUUGCACUUCCAGGCCUUUUGCUUAGGCAAAGAAACAGAGACCGAAAGAGACUUCUGAGACAACAGCCAGCAAAGAAGCUCACUGCCUUUUGAAGGGAUUCUCCUCCCAUGGGAGAAGAGCUGCUCUGGUCACUUCUACAAGUUCUAGCUGACCAGGCAGGGCCCUGGCUGAGAUCUUAUUUGGGGACUGAUCCUCUACCCUCUUCUCUCCACAAAUCAGUGAGCUUUGAGGGGAACUUGACUGCCACCAAACAUGAGGCUUUAGGACUGGAGAAGCUGGCAGACAAUGGGGUCCCCAGUGAUGCCCCUCAGAUGGGGCAAAGAUAUUCUCAACUACACCUCUGUCAAUGGUAUUAAUGGUUUUUAAAUGGUCUGUCCAUUUUUUCAUUAAAAAAGACACAGUAUUAAAAACUUGCCUGGAGUCAAACAGCUAGUAAGAGGCAAAGCCAGAUCUUGAGCUUGGUUUGUCAGGCACAUAACCACUCUACAUUAUCUUGUAAAGGUCAAAGAAAUUUUUUUCUUUUUAUUGCCUUAAAUCUAUUUUAAUGGGAAUCUUUCAGAAAUGGAGCCUUAUUUCCAUUGAUCUGAAAAUAGAAAACACUGAAGAUAUUGACA